AACAAGGUUUCCGUAGGUGAACCUGCAUAAGGAUCAUUGU
rnacentral:rRNA from 1 species